CUUCAAAGAUCCGAAUCAAGUAAACGAUUCCUUCACAAAUCGGACAUCGCGCACUCAAGACAGUUUUGUGGAUGAGCUUGUGGCGGCUUCAUACUGUUCUGCUUUGGCUUGAACACUGCUUACUAUCCAUGAUUUCUCGGUCUGAAGUUUAACUUUGAUAAUAGUGAUCUGCAUCUUCAACUAAAAGUAGUUUAUCCGCGACUUUGACACUCAAGCAGGUGUCCAUUUCAAUACAAUUAUGACUUUCACCAUGACUAGCAUUGCACCUACUGAUGUUGCAUCAACAACUGCAGCUCCACCGCAAACAGGCAUGACUGUCAUUGGAGUGGCAAUUGCCCUGAUCCUGCUGACUCUUGUUAUCUGUGGGUUCCUGCUGUACAGAUACUUGUGCCACAGUAAGGGUGUUUACAGAACCGCAGGUGAGCCUGCUCCAGGAGUGGACCCUGACCAGGUCUACAAUGACACCGUCACUGAAAACAAGAAGGAAUACUUCAUCUGAACUGCUUAGCAUCAGGGGGAUUUAACCCAUGAUCGAUACGCGUAGACUGCUGAAGACAUCUAAAUAGUCUAUGUAGAGAGGUGUAUGUGCAAGACAUAUGGGACAUAAACCACUAGUCUGUGCUGUAUGAAAGAAUGUUUGGUUGAAGGGAUACAGGUCGAGUUUUAUGUUGGGAGGAUAAGCCAGAAGUAAAAAGUUGUUUAUUCAUGAGGUCAAUAAGCUCACCAUCGGGUUUCGUAUGGUAAAGUUACUGUCAGUUACUGAGACAAUCAUUUUUUGCUGUCAAAUUGUUAUGCCUUUGUAUGUAGUUUAUAGUUCACUCAAAAAACAAACUCGCUGCUUCAGCAGAAAUGACAAGAAAGUUCAUAUGCAGUAGUUAUCAACAAAUAAUUUAUCAGUAAUUAUGGAGUUUUUAUCAGCUAUUAUUAGCGUUCAGGUAGCAUAAGUAGCACUGCACCUCUAUCAAAUGGAAAACAUUGGAGGCACUGUACUAAUUUUAUUUUAUUCGGUUUUAAGUCAAUAUAGUGUUAAUUUGCGGCUUUUCAACAUGCCUUUUCACUUUGAUAAUUUUGCCUAGCUUUUUAUUACUUUAAAAAAAAAAUUUAUUUUAUUGGCAGAACUCUUAGAUUAUGGAUAGUUGGAGAGUCCACUGUUACAGUGCCUUGUAAAACAUUUAAAUGUAUUUUACUUUUAUUUUUUAUUGACAUUUUAUAAUUCAAAAUGUAUUUUUGUUACAUAGGCAUGCUGUAACAGUGCCAAAUAUAAUACCGCUGUCAUUAUUUGUAAAACAAACACAUGCUGAUCAUAAUAUCAGAUGCAUAUAUGAUACUUGAUAUUUUUUUUGUGCAGGGUUACAGUGGUAUGUUACUUGUUAUGAAAAUGAAUGUAAUUUAUAUGUCGGAUUCUGAGUAAUAUUUUUUUAAUUGCUCUAUCAAUAUGAUACUGCAGUUAUUGAUUAUAAUACAAUGUCAAAUACAAGUGUCUAGCUAGUUGAAAAUUGCUAGUAAAACAAAAAUUUAGAUUUAAUUAGAAAUUAAUUCUGUGCUAAUAGUUUUGUCAGUGCAAAAAUGAUAUAUUGUAAGAUAUUUAACUUCCUUUAAGACUUUGGAUAAUGCAUCAUCUCCAAGAUCUAGAGUCAUUAUUGCAUUGGAGUGAAUGUGAAUUGGUGACUUUUGACAAACAUUUGUAAUGACCUGGAGAUAAACCGCCAAAUAUACAAACCAGCAUACAAAAAUAUAAACAUGAAACAUUGAAAGACAUAUUACAACACCGAUUGUCAAAAUUCAAAAUAGCUUUUAUUCUAAAUUUUGUUUUAUACUUAAGGUUUAGUAUAAAAAAAGUUAAGUGCACCACAUUUUCAUUGGAGACCAUUUUGUCAUGUAGCAAACUAGGAAGGACCUCGGUUCCUUGAUGCUGCAGUGUGCAUCCAUUCUAACCCAUCAUUAUCUUUUUAUUAUAUAUAUAUAUAUAUAUAUAUAAUCAAAAGGGUUCCCUGAACUGUAGUGCCCACAAAGACGUAUACCAUCCAUGACUGUCAUGGUAUUGAGGCUCAAGAUAAGCAGUGUAUCCGCUACAUUGCAUACACAAACACACGGUGCCACAUGCCAUGAUAAAAUGCUGCGCUAAGUUGAAACGGAUAUUGAGUUCUGAAGGCUUUGCCCCCAUGUUUUUUUGCCUUAUGUUAUUUUCCUAGCAAAGUAAGAAUAAAUGAAAUGGGAUUAAAUAAGGAAUGGCAUAAAGUCAGGUUAGGAAACUACCAGGUCAGAAGCCUACGUCACAGAAAAUUAUAGAAAUGGUGCUAAGGCAAUGCCAGCAUACUUGGCAUGUUUUUUUUUUUUGGUUUUUCUUUUUUACAUCAAAAAAUGUAUUUCCUUUAUUUGCAGAGAGAAAAUCUACCUGAAUGGUCUUUUUUUAUUCAAAUGGGCAAAACCUUUAGAACGGUACUGUAGUGUCGGAUACCCAGUGAUGCACCUGAUACAUGUAAAGCCUAAAAAAUUAGCCCCAUUUGCCAGGCUAGCAUAGCAUUUCCUAUAUUUUCAAAUUCAAUCAGAAAAUAUAUAUAGUAUAGUGACCAAAAAUAAUUUUGAUACCAGUGAAUAUACGGAGAAUAAACCUAAGUAAGCAUUUAUAAGCAUUUCACCUCUGUGCUAUCUAGCAAAAUAAGCAGCAUUUUAGAUUUACGGUCACAUCUAAUACAGAUAACUGCUACAGAGCUUAAGCGUGUAGUGUCGCAGAGUAAACGGCUGCUUUUGAAGGUCAUUCUAUCACUGUUGGGAGUAGAAAUGAAGAUUUCGCAAUUAAAUAAAUUAGAAGCAUAAAAAGCAGUGGAGACAACUGCUGGUGUAACUCCUUCCUUUUUUGAUAGGUAUUUUUCAAAAUCACAUUAGAGACGAGAGCAAAACUUUAAUCCCUUGCAUUACAUUUACUAAUAAACACCACGAUUUCUCAGCCGUUGUAUUUGCUGCUACGUAUUACCGCACUGCUUUGAAAAUCAUCAAUGCAGAACCAAUUAUAACUGACGCUCUUCGUAUUUAAAUGCAUAUGUACAAAAGAAAUCUGCAAAAACAUUUCAGAAUUGGUUGACAGUGCACAAAUUAAUCCUGUAGUACUCCUAAAAAAUUGAACAAUGAAAAUUCUUUAUUAAGAACAAAACUACUGAAAAGUGCAUGCAGAAACAUCAAGAUGCAACUAGGAAACAUUUAUAUAUUUUUAAAACACAACCCCUAGAAAAUGCAGUCACGGCAGUGGUUUGCUCUGCCCGGAAAGCAAUCACCAUCAUCUAAAUAUGAUAUGUUUAUUUAUUUCAGUAUGAAUCUGUGUGCAGAUGUACUAUGACAGAAGACUUACAAAAAGCGAAAAUCUUUGGUACAAGCAGCUCCCCACAAAAAAAAAAAAAAAAAAAA